GAUGAACGCUGGCGGCGUGCCUAAUACAUGCAAGUCGAGCGAACAGAUAAGGAGCUUGCUCCUUUGACGUUAGCGGCGGACGGGUGAGUAACACGUGGAUAACCUACCUAUAAGACUGGGAUAACUUCGGGAAACCGGAGCUAAUACCGGAUAACAUAUUGAACCGCAUGGUUCAAUAGUGAAAGGCGGCUUUGCUGUCACUUAUAGACGGAUCCGCGCCGUAUUAGCUAGUUGGUAAGGUAACGGCUUACCAAGGCAACGAUACGUAGCCGACCUGAGAGGGUGAUCGGCCACACUGGAACUGAGACACGGUCCAGACUCCUACGGGAGGCAGCAGUAGGGAAUCUUCCGCAAUGGGCGAAAGCCUGACGGAGCAACGCCGCGUGAGUGAUGAAGGUCUUCGGAUCGUAAAACUCUGUUAUCAGGGAAGAACAAAUGUGUAAGUAACUGUGCACAUCUUGACGGUACCUGAUCAGAAAGCCACGGCUAACUACGUG
rnacentral:rRNA from 1 species